UGGGGAAUAUUGGACAAUGGGGGCAACCCUGAUCCAGCAAUGCCGCGUGUGUGAAGAAGGCCUACGGGUUGUAAAGCACUUUCGUUGGGGAAGAAAGGUUUAGAUUGAUAAGGUCUAAGCUGUGACAUGAACUAAAGAAGAAGCACCGGCUAACUCUGUGCCAGCAGCCGCGGUAAUACAGAGGGUGCAAGCGUUAAUCGGAAUUACUGGGCGUAAAGCGCACGUAGGUGGUUUAAUAAGUUGUCUGUGAAAGCCCUGGGCUCAACCCAGGAAAGUCAGGCAAUACUGUUAGACUCGAGUCCCAUAGAGGAUAGUGGAAUUUCAGGUGUAGCGGUGAAAUGCGUAGAGAUCUGAAAGAACACCAGUGGCGAAGGCGGCUAUCUGGAUGGAGACUGACACUGAGGUGCGAAAGCGUGGGGAGCAAACAG
rnacentral:rRNA from 1 species